UACGUAGGGCGCAAGCGUUGUUCGGAAUUACUGGGCGUAAAGCGCGUGUAGGCGGCCUUUUAAGUCUGAUGUGAAAGCCCGGGGCUCACCCCCGGAAGUGCAUCGGAUACUGGGAGGCUCGAGUACCGGAGAGGAGGGUGGAAUUCCUGGUGUAGCGGUGAAAUGCGUAGAUAUCAGGAGGAACACCGGUGGCGAAGGCGGCCCUCUGGACGGUACUGACGCUGAGACGCGAAAGCGUGGGGAGCGAACAGG
rnacentral:rRNA from 1 species